ensembl:snRNA U1 U1 spliceosomal RNA
AAAAUGAUUUUGCAGGUGGUUUUCCCAGAGCAUGGCUUGUCCAUUGCACUUGGGAUGUGCAGACCCCUGCGAUUUCCCCAGACUUGAGAAAUUGAACUGCACAAGCUGUGGUAGUGUGACUGAGUUUUUUGAUCCCCUCUGGU